GAUGAACGCUGGCGGCGUGCCUAAUACAUGCAAGUCGAGCGAACAGACGAGGUGCUUGCUCCUCUGACGUUAACGGCGGACGGGUGAGUAAAACGUGGAUAACCUACCUAUAAGACUGGGAUAACUUCGGGAAACCGGAGCUAAUACCGGAUAAUAUAUUCAACCGCAUGGUUCAAUAGUGAAAGACGGUUUUGCUGUCACUUAUAGAUGUAUCCGCGCCGCAUUAGCUAGUUGGUAAGAUAACGGCUUACCAAGGCAACGAUGCGUAGCCGACCUGAGAGGGUGUUGGGCCACACUGGGACUGAGACACGGUCCAGAGUCCUAGGGGAGGCAGCGGUAGGGAAUCUUCCGCGAUGGGCGAAAGCCUGACGGAGCAACGCCGCGUGAGUGAUGAAGGUCUUCGGAUCGUAAAACUCUGUUAUUAGGGUAGAACAAAUGUGUCAGUAGCUAUGCACGUCUUGACGGUACCUAAUCAGAAAGCCACGGCUAACUACGUG
rnacentral:rRNA from 1 species